GAAGAUGGGGACAGCCCAGAUGAUGGUCA
rnacentral:piRNA from 1 species